rnacentral:misc_RNA from 1 species
AUCAUAUGGUACAGCUUUGGUUGUAGCAUCAGCUAAGCCAGAACCCUUGAAAAUAAUGAUAUCAGGAGCUCCUGCUUCUGGUAAGGGUACUCAAUGUGAGCUCAUCACUAAGAAAUAUGGUUUGGUGCAUGUUGCUGCUGGAGACCUUUUGAGAGCAGAAAUUGCUUCAGGGAGUGAAAACGGGAAGCGAGCAAAGGAAUACAUGGAGAA